AGAGUUUGAUCAUGGCUCAGGACAAACGCUGGCGGCGUGCCUAACACAUGCAAGUCGAACGGGUUUCGUCUCUUUGGAGGCGGAGCGAGUGGCGGACGGGUGAGUGACACGUGGAUGACGUACCCUGGUGUGGGGGAUACCCUUCAGAAAUGAGGGCUAAUACCGCAUACGAUCUUGGGGAUCAAGCCUCAAGAGGAAAGCGGCCGGGCAACUGGUGGCGCACUAUAGGAGCGGUCCGCGGCCGAUUAGCUAGUUGGUGGGGUAACGGCUCACCAAGGCGACGACGGCUACGGGGUCUGAGAGGACGACCCCGCACAUUGGAACUGAGACACGGUCCAGACUCCUACGGGAGGCAGCAGUGGGGAAUUUUGGGCAAUGGCCGCAAGGCUGACCCAGCGACGCCGCGUGUGGGAUGACGCCUCUCGGGGUGUAAACCACUGUCAGAGGGGAAGAAUGACGUCUGUGUAAAUAAUGCAGGCGUGUGACGGUACCCUCAAAGGAAGCACCGGCUAACUCCGUGCCAGCAGCCGCGGUAAUUC
rnacentral:rRNA from 1 species